GUCCUGGAGUUGGCUACACAAUGAUUUCCUGCAGGGAAAUCGGCGUUUCCUAUUUUCUACUUUUCUCUGCAACGGUCUCCAGGUCCUAGGUCAGUGAGUGGUGAACCAGGCCAGGAGAGAGCUGGGCUGCUAGAAAUGUCACCUUCAAAGGAGGCUAGAAGGCCACCGUGCUUCUUCUUUCCCUUGCAAGGAUCUUCUCAGGUGUGAAAACAAGAUUCACUGCUGGUGUCUUGACUUUGGAUUCCUGUUACCUGGAAGAGUGGUUUACUGACUAAAUAAGGUGCACAGAGUGCAGGAGUGGGCCGGUGUGCCCCUCGAGGUAAUCAACCCCAGAGAUGGAGAUCAGCUGCGAGGGAGUGGUACCCACUUGAAAGGGCAGAUUUCUGGAAGGAAGAUGACAUCAAAGACAAGAACAGUCUGAUGGACAUUACGAGGCAUUAAAAUAGACCACAGUGUAUUCUGCCCUUGUAAAUAAUGGAAAUGAGCAUUACUUUCCAAAACUGAGAUUAAAAGUCAACAUGAAU